UCAUAAAUCAAAUUGCAAUCAACUUUAAUCAUACUUUAAGUCAUUUUCUUUUAACAUAAAAAACACAAACAAAUUUAUUUUGCCAUUUGGCUUUUCCUUUUAAAACCUUUUUCAAAACUAAUAAAAAACACACAACUAAUCAAACUUCAAUUUCUACCCCGAAUUACGAGGUUUUGAUCCUUCACGGGUACGUAGGCAGAGGACCAUGUCCUUCCAAACAAUAAAAAUGUAGAUAAAUUAGGUCUCACUUUAUAUUCCUUUUCAUCACAUUAAUUCCUUCUUUUCAAAAGCAAGCAAGUUAUAGCACAUUAAAUUAAAUAAAACCAAGAGGUUCCCGUAGAGUACUACGGACAUAAAGGGUGCUAAUACCUUCCCUUUGUGUAACUAACCCCCAAACCCAAAAUCUUUUCAAAUAGGGGUAGUUUGAACUUUUUUUCCCUUUUCUUAAAAAAUUAAAUGUUCAGUCGUGAAAUAAAUUAGUGAGUCAAAAGCUAAUCAAAUAGCCUUGAUCUCCAAAAAAAUGACGCGACAC
rnacentral:lncRNA from 1 species